UACGUAGGGUGCAAGCGUUGUCCGGAAUUAUUGGGCGUAAAGAGCUCGUAGGCGGUUUGUCGCGUCUGCUGUUGAAAACCCGAGGCUCAACCUCGGGCCUGCAGUGGGUACGGGCAGACUAGAGUGCGGUAGGGGAGAUUGGAAUUCCUGGUGUAGCGGUGGAAUGCGCAGAUAUCAGGAGGAACACCAAUGGCGAAGGCAGAUCUCUGGGCCGUAACUGACGCUGAGGAGCGAAAGCGUGGGGGAGCGAACAGG
rnacentral:rRNA from 1 species